rnacentral:rRNA from 1 species
UACGUAGGCAGCAAGCGUUGUUCGGAGUUACUGGGCGUAAAGGGUGUGUAGGCGGUUCCGUAAGUCUGGUGUGAAAUCUCCCGGCUCAACUGGGAGGGUGCGCCGGAAACUGCGGGGCUAGAGUGUGGGAUGGGAGAGUGGAAUUCCUGGUGUAGCGGUGAAAUGCGUAGAUAUCAGGAGGAACACCUGCGGUGUAGACGGCUCUCUGGACCACUACUGACGCUGAGACACGAAAGCGUGGGUAGCAAACAGG